rnacentral:rRNA from 1 species
UACAGAGGUGCCAAGCGUUAGGCGGAAUCACUGGGCUUAAAGCGCGUGUAGGCGGGUCGUUAAGUGUCUUGUGAAAUCCCACGGCUCAACCGUGGAACUGCUGGGCAUACUGACGAUCUUGAGGCACUCAGGGGCUGUCGGAACAAAUGGUGGAGCGGUGAAAUGCGUAGAUAUCAUUUGGAACGCCAACGGUGAAAACAGACAGCUGGGGGGGUGUCCUGACGCUGAGACGCGAAAGCCAGGGGAGCGAACGGG